UACGUAGGGGGCAAGCGUUGUCCGGAUUUAUUGGGCGUAAAGAGCGUGUAGGCGGUUAGGUAGGUCCGUUGUGAAAACUCGAGGCUCAACCUCGAGACGCCGAUGGAAACCAUCUGACUAGAGUCCGGAAGAGGAGAGUGGAAUUCCUGGUGUAGCGGUGAAAUGCGCAGAUAUCAGGAAGAACACCCGUGGCUAAGGCGGCUUUCUGGACGGUAACUGACGCUGAGACGCGAAAGCGUGGGGAGCAAACAGG
rnacentral:rRNA from 1 species